GAUGAACGCUGGCGGCGUGCCUAACACAUGCAAGUCGAACGGGAUGCGUAUCGGAAAGCUUCGGCCGGAAGAUACGUUAUCUAGUGGCGGACGGGUGAGUAACACGUGGGUAACCUGCCUUAUGGAGGGGGAUAACAGGGAGAAAUCACUGCUAAUACCGCAUAAGCACACAGUACCGCAUGGUACAGGGUGAAAAGAUUUAUCACCAUAAGAUGGACCCGCGUCUGAUUAGCCAGUUGGCAGGGUAAAAGCCUACCAAAGCAACGAUCAGUAGCCGAUCUGAGAGGAUGACCGGCCACAUUGGGACUGAGACACGGCCCAAACUCCUACGGGAGGCAGCAGUGGGGAAUAUUGCACAAUGGGGGAAACCCUGAUGCAGCGACGCCGCGUGAGUGAAGAAGUAUUUCGGUAUGUAAAGCUCUAUCAGCAGGGAAGAUAAUGACAGUACCUGACUAAGAAGCCCCGGCUAACUACGUGCCAGCAGCCGCGGUAAUACGUAGGGGGCAAGCGUUAUCCGGAUUUACUGGGUGUAAAGGGAGCGUAGACGGAGUGGCAAGUCUGAAGUGAAAACCCUGGGCUUAACCUAGGGACUGCUUUGGAAACUGUUAAUCUAGAGUGUUGGAGAGGUAAGUGGAAUUCCUGGUGUAGCGGUGAAAUGCGUAGAUAUCAGGAAGAACACCGGAGGCGAAGGCGGCUUACUGGACAAUAACUGACGUUGAGGCUCGAAAGCGUGGGGAUCAAACAGG
rnacentral:rRNA from 1 species